rnacentral:rRNA from 1 species
GCGCUGUUUGGUGGAUAUCUUGGCUCGGAAACUGAUGAAGGGCGUGGCAAGCUGCGAUAAGCCACGGGUAGCCGCAAGCAGGCUUUGAUCCGUGGAUGCCCAAAUGAGACAUCUCUCUGUAGCUAUAUAAACUACAGAACUCCCAUCAGGGAGGGGGAACGCGCUUAACCAAAGCAUUCUAAUAAGCGCAGGAAAAGAAAACAACAGUGAUUCCGUAACUAGUGGCGAACGAAAGCGGAAUAGACCAAACCGAAUCCGCAGUGGAGAACGCUGUGGAAAUGUGGUGUGUGGACACCGGACUUAAACCUAGCAGAGGAAGACAAAAGUCUCUGGAAAGUUAUGCCAUAGAGGGUGAUAGCCCCGUAGUCGUAACUCUGAAGGUUCUUACCGGUGCUCCCGAGUAACUCGACUUGGAAAUGCCGAGUGAAAAUGCCGGCCUCCAGCCGGCAAGUCUAAAUAUUAUCCGAGACCGAUAGCGUAAUAGUAGCGUGAGCGAAAGAUGAAAAGUAUCCUGGAAAGGAUGUGAAAAGUGCUUGAAACCAAAUAGUGAGUGAAGGAAGCGGAGAGAAAGGAUAGAUUCUUUUCGAAGUAAACCGUAGUGAUGCGGCAAACGAGAGAAGAGGACCAUCUUCGCUUCAUCCGUCUUGAACCACGGGCCAGGGAGUUUAUGGAUGUGGCGAGUUGGCUAAGGAGGUCAUCUCCGUAACCGUAGGGAAACCGACAGCCCCGCAACGGUGUUAUCACAUUGAAUGAAUGAUCUGCUUCGGCAAAAUCAGAAUUUCACUAAGGAACGCCGCCAGGGGGAGGCGUCUGAAAGGGCGCACAGUCACAUGCGUAACACCUGAAACCCCGUGAUCUAUGCCUGACCAGGGUGAAGCCGUUCGAAAGGAUGGUGGAGGCCCGAAAGGUAACUGACGUGCAAUUCGUUCCGAUGAGUUGGGUAUAGGGGCAAAAAACCAAUCUAACGGGGAGAUCGCUGGUUCUCUCUGAAGCUGCUCUGAGGCAGGCCCUGAAUGAGGUAGGUGGUGGUGUAGAGCACUAAUUCGCUUGGUAUGGAGAAGAAAUUCUUCGCCGGCGUCUUAAACUCCGAAGCUGCUACCGCCGUAGAAUUCAGGAGACGGUUUGGUACGCGUAAGGCGUAUCGUCGAGAGGGGAACAACCCAGAUUGGGGUUAAGGUCCCUAAAUGUCGGCUAAGUGUUAAAACGAAGGGCGUCAUUUCUCGAAGACAGCAAAAAGGUAAGCUUAGAAGCAGCUAUCCUUGAAAGAAAGCGUAAUAGCUCAUUUGCCGAGAGAAAUGGCCCCGAAAAUGGACGGGGCUAAAGUCGACUACCGAUACCUCAAGGCACGCGCAGUAGAGCGCGUGAUCCGGUAAGAGAGCGUCCGGUUCGGGAAGAAGUAAGGCUGUGAAGUCUUGUGGACCGUUCCGGAGUGCAGAUCCUGGCAGUAGUAACAGCAAAGAUAGGUGAGAAUCCUAUCCGCCGAAGGGGCAAGGUUUUCUUAGCAAUACGCGGUUAGCUAAGAGUUAGCCGGUCCUAAGGUGCUUCUUAACUGUUUGCACCGAAAGGGAAACGGAUUUAUAUUUCCGUGCCACAGGAGUACGAAUAGUGGCAACGCAAGGUUCCCCGCUGACGGAUCCGGGUAUCUGGAGCAGAGCAGUCGCUCUGUUUAAAUGUAUAAAUCUGGGAAGUAGUGUAAAACUGAGAACCAGAUGAAAGCACGAAUAGCCCUCCAAAUGUGGAGAGUUCCGGAGACCCCAGGUCCCAAUGAAAAGGCCGGGAACAAGUAUCUUCUGUGUCCGUACCAAGAACCGACACAGGUGUCCCAAGGUGAGAAGCCUAAGGCGUGUUGGGUUACAGGUCGUAAGGGAAAUCGGCAAAAUAGAGCUGUAUCUUUGGUAUAAAGCUUGCUUGAAGUCCUCAACGGGACUUUAAGUUGCAAUAACUAGGGGAAGCCGACUGUAAAAUAAAAACAUAGCCUUCUGCAAGAGCGAAAGCUUGUGUACAGAAGGUGAAUCCUGCCCAGUGCCGGUCGGUCAAUGCCCGGUUCAACGGGAGUAAGCCCCGGUAAACGGCGGGAGUAACUAUAACUCUCUUAAGGUAGCCAAAUGCCUUGUCAUAUAAGUAAUGACGUGCAUGAACGGACCAACGAGCUUCCUACUGUCCCUACGAUCUACCCAGUGAACCUACAGUCCGGCGAACGGGCCGGAAUGCGCCAUUGGGAAGAGAAGACCCCGCAGAGCUUUACUGCAGCCUGUUCUUUCUUUACCGCUUUUAUUGCAGAGUGUAGUUGGUAGCGUAGAAACGUGCUUUCGGGCACGCCGAGCAAAAUUGGAACACCAACCUAU